rnacentral:rRNA from 1 species
CGUGUGGUUCUAUUUUGUUGGUUUCUAGGACCGCCGUAAUGAUUAAUAGGGACAGUCGGGGCCGUCUGUAUUCAAUUGUCAGAGGUGAAAUUCUUGGAUCUAUUGAAGACAAACUACUGCGAAAGCAUUCGGCAAGGAUGUUUUCAUUGAUAAGGAACGAAAGUUAGGGGAUCGAAGACGAUCAGAUACCGUCGUAGUCUUAACUAUAAACUAUGCCGACUAGGGAUCGGACGAUGUUAUUUUUUGACUCGUUCGGCACCUUUCGAGAAAUCAAAGUGCUUGGGCUCCAGGGGGAGUAUGGUCGCAAGGCUGAAACUUAAAGAAAUUGACGGAAGGGCACCACCAGGGGUGGAACCUGCGGCUUAAUUUGACUCAACACGGGGAAACUCACCAGGUCCAGACACAGUGAGGAUUGACAGAUUGAUAGCUCUUUCUUGAUUCUGUGGGUGGUGGUGCAUGGCCGUUCUUAGUUGGUGGAGUGAUUUGUCUGCUUAAUUGCGAUAACGAACGAGACCUUAACCUGCUAAAUAGCCCCUAUUGCCUCGGCAGUAGGCUGGCUUCUUGGAGGGACUAUCGGCUCAAGCCGAUGGAAGUUUGAGGCAAUAACAGGUCUGUGAUGCCCUUAGAUGUCCUGGGCCGCACGCGCGUUACACUGACAAAGCCAGCGAGUAUUUCCUUGGCCGGAAGGCCCGGGUAAUCUUGNUAAACUUUGUCGUGC